rnacentral:rRNA from 1 species
CACUCCUGCGGGAGGCAGCAGUGGGGAAUAUUGCACAAUGGGCGCAAGCCUGAUGCAGCCAUGCCGCGUGUAUGAAGAAGGCCUUCGGGUUGUAAAGUACUUUCAGCGGGGAGGAAGGCGAUAAGGUUAAUAACCUUGUUGAUUGACGUUACCCGCAGAAGAAGCACCGGCUAACUCCGUGCCAGCAGCCGCGGUAAUACGGAGGGUGCAAGCGUUAAUCGGAAUUACUGGGCGUAAAGCGCACGCAGGCGGUCUGUCAAGUCGGAUGUGAAAUCCCCGGGCUCAACCUGGGAACUGCAUUCGAAACUGGCAGGCUAGAGUCUUGUAGAGGGGGGUAGAAUUCCAGGUGUAGCGGUGAAAUGCGUAGAGAUCUGGAGGAAUACCGGUGGCGAAGGCGGCCCCCUGGACAAAGACUGACGCUCAGGUGCGAAAGCGUGGGGAGCAAACAGGAUUAGAUACCCCAGUAGUCCCA